UGGGUUCUGCGGGGGAGUGUUUUCUCUACAUUUUCAGGGUGGCAGGCUGACGGGAUCCAGCUGGUGCUCGUCAUCUCCAAUCAACAAUGGCCUUAAAUAGGAGAGGCUUCCCAGAAGAAGAUGCCAGAUGGUUCCGCUUCUACAGUGAACCAGCCCUGACCUCUCUCUGAGAAUCAGAUCACCUGGACUACUUGGCCCUCGCUGUUCGGCUUGGCCGAGCCCCUGGAUUCCUCCACCACCACCACCCUGCUGCUGCCUGUCCACCCUCAGUUACCUGCUGGAACUCCCCCACCUGGAGACCCCUCGCUGCCCCAACUGCUGUACCCUCCUCUGCUCACCUGAACCCCCAAUCCGUAAGCCCUCAUCAGGUUACAUCAUCAUUCCUGUCAUUAUUCCUCUGUCUAACUGCUCACCCAUUUCUCAGUUCCUCCUCUGGCCCGGUUCCUCCCUGCUGCCGCUGAUCUUCACCUCUCCAUUGUUUUCCCCAUUACACCUUCCUGUUCAAUAAAUCUGUAAAC